ensembl:lncRNA
CUCCAGCGGGUGGGAGGCGGGAGUGGGCUGUGUUCUUAAAAAUGGGAAGGAGAGGGAGAUCCGUGGUCCGACAGUUGGCGAUGCUGCGUAACAAGUUACGUCAUUCACACACGCAUCUCUUGACAAUGUUCAGAAAAAAAAAAGUUUGUUGACUUAAGUUGCCAGUGUAGUGCAGAACCAACGCUAGUAGGUCGGCGAGCGCUCUGCGGGAGGGUAACAGCUCCUGAAAGGGAGAGACUUUGCAACAGUGCGUUGAUUUUCUUGACAAAGCUGUGUCUCGGUACGGCUGAAAACAGCUCGGACCGAUCCAGUCGGGAGACGCGAGCGGUGGACCGGAAAGCUGCGUGCCGCAAUGGAAUUUGUCCUGACUAGACUGAGAGACUUCUCCCGCAAGGCUGCCACCUUCGACAGCUGCCCACCCGUUGGGGUCGUGAGCCGCAGGGAGCCCCCGAGACAGAUCAGCGAGGCGAGGAGAGGCCAGAGAGAGAAGUGUGCGGCCGGAGAAGGCGGCUCCUGCCAGUGGGACAUCGAGAGCGCCCUGGCCUGGCUGCGGAAAGAGCUGAUGGAGAUGCGCUCUCAGGACCAGGCUCUGGUGCGGCAGCUGAUGGACCUCCAUGCUGGCAUCCAGGAGCUGAGACUAGAGUGUGCCGAGGGGGAGGAGAAUGGGGAUGAAGGCCAGGGCUGGGAUUGUGGGAGUGACUCCGGCAGCCCCAGUGUGUACUCCAGCUCCGGGGAGGUGGGCUAUUCUGGCCCCUUUUCCUUCACCGGCAUGGCCCCGCUCCGCAGGGGGUACUCGCCUGGCCGGGUUUUCAGCCGGAGGAGCUCCGUGCCAUGAGCACGGGACUCCCCUGCCUUAGGUUUGUGCUCAACAGCCCGGAAUGUAACAUGCUCAUCUCACAAGGAGCACUCGUCUGGGAUGAUCUGUUUCAUUCUACCUGUUGAACUAAACCCAGGACUGAGGUUACAGCAACCUUGUUUUCGUCACCAGUCUCACGUCAUGCUUUAUUGCAGGCUACAAUCCUCAAUAGAUGUGACUGAUUUCCUAACGACAAUUUAAACGCAUGGCCUUUUUCGCAGUUUUGGUAUUUUGUGGUCAGAAUUACCUAAAAAGGCUUUAAUUUCCUCUUCCACUGUAGCUAGUUGCUCAGUUUUCAAAUGACUCUCUGUAGAGCAGUCUAACUAAAAUGAUUUAUUUCCAGUAACACUGUUGCUAAAUACCAUUAAGGAAUGAAAAUUCAGAAGGAGUCAUAACUGCUGUAACAUUAGUCAAAUGACAACAAACACAGUGAAUGUUACCGUGAAAGAUAAAUCGUAAGGUAGGCAGGGCAGUAGAACAUUAAAAAGACCAGUGUCAGAUUUCCACUAUUGGACCAUACACAUUACCGCCUGCAUGGUUGGGAGCUUCACUAUUGUACUGUUGUGAUUUUCUUUAACAAAGCCCUGCUUUGUCUGGGUGUCUAUAGUCAGGAUCCUAGCAAUUGUCUCAGAGUGAAUGGACUUCCAAGUGAAAAGUGGAACAUAACUCGAUAUCAUUGUUUAUUGCGACCUAGCAAGCCCCGCGACAAAGCAUCGGGUCAUCUGCCGAAAGCAAGUUCGUACAAAGAAGGUCUUGUGUCAAUCACAUGGCGCCCCCUUGAAAAAUGAUUUAAAACCCAGUGCAGAAGAAGCUAGACUUCCUUUCUGUAGGUUGACAAAGCAGAAAUACCCUCUAGACGGGAAGAGGUGGUUAAUGAAACCACCCUGCAGCAUGAAAUGGCGCCACUUUUGAAGUGCAGGUGUAAUUUUACACGGAAGGGGAGAUUUUCGAGAGUGGAAAAGAAUUUCGAGUCACAUCAACCAAGAUCCAAAAACCUUUAUCAUGUUCAAAUAUUAAUUGCCCGUUUAAAAUACGAAAGGUAUAAGUCUUGCAUGAACCACACCAUUUUAGUUUAACAUGUAAUUAUACAAUAUUACAUCCCUUAGAUUUUGCCAGGAUAUGGAUAUACAGUAUAUACAGUAUACACAGUGUAUGUAUAUAUAUAUAUAUAUAUGUAUAUGUAUAUACAGCACGUCUACAUCUUCAUCCUUUGUAUCCCAGAACUUCUAAAAAUGUAUUGUAGUAUUAAUUUUAUCACGGCCCCGUGAAAACUGGCAGUCCCACGGUACUUUUGUGUGACUGGAGACGCCAUCAGUCGAGCCCAUGGGGCACUUUUGUUGAUCUGACCCCCUUGAAAUCCUCCUCUCCCACCCUGACAAGUGGACCUGUGUCCACAGCCUUGUGUAACCCUGUAGCAGACAAGUGCUCCUUUGUGGUACGCCUCACCUCUGUAAUAAAGACUGCGAAACUCGGCUGUGUCA